rnacentral:pre_miRNA from 1 species
AUCACUGGAGAUCUUGUUAAGAUGCAGAUUCUGGUUCAUGGCCUAGGAUUCUGCAUUUGUAACAAGCUCCCAGGUGAUGCCAA